AACGUAGGUUCCGAGCGUUAUCCGGAUUUACUGGGCGUAAAGCGCGUUCAGGCGGUUUGGCAAGUCGGGCAUGAAAUCUCUCGGCUCAACCGGGAGAGGUUGUCCGAUACUGCUGGACUUGAGGGCAGUAGAGGGUGGUGGAAUUCCGGGUGUAGUGGUGAAAUGCGUAGAUAUCCGGAGGAACACCAGUGGCGAAGGCGACUCACUGGACGACUGUUGACGCUGAGGUGCGAAAGCGUGGGGAGCAAACAGGG
rnacentral:rRNA from 1 species